AUGGAGUUGGAACUGUGCUUAGUUUUCCUUGUUUCAUUUUUACAAGGUGUAAAGUGUGAAGUGCAGUUGGUGGAGUCUGGGGGAGGCUUUGUGCAGCCUGGAAAGUUCCUAAAACACUCCUGUGCAGCCCCUGGAUUCACCUUCAGUAGUGCCUGGAUGUCCUGCAUCCGGCAUGCUCCAGGGAAGGGGCUGGAGUGGGUUGCUAGAAUUAAAAAAGGUAAUAAUUAUGCAAGAGAAUAUGCAGACUCCAUGAUUGGCAGAUUCACCAUCUCCGGGGAGCAGUGUCUACCUGCAAAUGAACAGCUUAAUAGGCGGUGA